UACGUAGGAUGCAAGCGUUGUCCGGAAUUACUGGGCGUAAAGGGCGCGUAGGCGGCUUGACAAGUCACUUGUGAAAUCUCCGGGCUUAACUCGGAACGGCCAAGUGAAACUGUCAUGCUAGAGUGCAGAAGGGGCAACUGGAAUUCUCGGUGUAGCGGUGAAAUGCGUAGAUAUCAAGAGGAACACCUGAGGUGAAGACGGGUUGCUGGGCUGACACUGACGCUGAGGCGCGAAAGCUAGGGUAGCAAACGGG
rnacentral:rRNA from 1 species